GUAGUAUUACCUUAUACAAGCAGACAGGUCUUUUCAGAGACAUCGGAAGACACUGAAGAGCCGAAUCAUUUUUUUUUUAUUACAUAUUUGAAACUAAUUACAUCUAAAUGCCCUGGUUUUGAUUCAUACGAAACUCACGUUCACCCAAGAUGAAACAAAAUGGUCGACCCACAAAGAAUAUGAAUUAUACAACUGCUAAUAAAUGUUACAGACAUUAUUAUAGUACUUCUAAACAUACACUUAUCGGCUCCUAAUUCAGUUGGAUUGCGUAUGCAAUUUAUCUUUACAAGAUAAGUUUCUCUGCCAGUUUCGAUAAUUAGCCUCCAGUUGUUCGGUCAACUGAAUUCCUUCUCGUAAAAUUAACGUGUAAAUGGUUGCGUAUUCUACAGGCACGUGUGACUUACGCAACUGUCGGGCUGAAUUAGCGAGACAUUGUGACAAGACUAGACUUCUUGAAUUGCAAGAACAACCCAGAGAAUGAGAAAAGAAGGAACGGCGCUUCUUUUGUUUCUAGGGCCCCCUAAAGUGAAACGAUUGAUCUUGUCAGAAGCUGGUGCUUCUCAGAUUAAGCGGAUAUAAAGUUUUAAAUAAUAGUUCAAGUGUGUUCGUAUCAAUUUCAAUGGUCACACCAACACCAUUGAUUUGAAUUGGAUUUUUAGUAAAAAGCCCUGUGCAUAUA